rnacentral:lncRNA from 1 species
AAAUCUUUCACCAAGAUCAAGAACCAAAAUUGACACUUGAGAUCAAUUCUUUCACCAUCAUUGAAAAGAUGAAAAUAAAAGAAGUUAACCAAAUCAAUCAUAAUUAAUCAUGAAUUAAAAUUCAAAUUAAUAUAAACAUAAAUCUAAAUUUUGCUUGAUAAAUCCAAGAUCAAUAACCAUAAUUAAUGUUGAAAUCAAAUCUUUAACCAUCCUAAAAAAGAUAGAAAUAAAACAAGUUAAUCAAAUCAAUCAUAAUUAACCAUGAAUUAAAAUUAAAAUUUCUAGCAAAAUAUAUCUGAAGACAUAAAAGUCUUGGAGUAAUUGAGAAGUAAGAGGCAUUCGGAUAUCAGAGGUCCCAGCUAUGAAUCCUCAUUCUAGCACCGAUAUGUGAACAAAGAGAAGAUAGUAUUUUAUUAAUCAAUAGGAUAUUUAUGAUGCUUCUCUAAAGUCUAUACUUAUAAACAUAGAAAAUAUAAAGUAUAUAAAAUUUUACUACUAAUAAAGAGUUAUUUUUAUUAAUAUGUAAAAAGAAAAAGAAAAGUUGUAAAUAAUUUUUAAUUGAAUUUAAAUAAUAAUAGCAGCAUAGAUAAAACAUAUAAUUAGAGCAACUUAUUAAGCCCUCCAAUUUUUUUUCAAAAUCAAUUUAGUUUUUCAACUAAUUUUUCACCUCUUUUAACCCUUAAACUUGUAAUUUUUGUCAAAUCACCCAAAAUGGAUGAAAAAAAGCUAGUUUGUUAACUUUGUUGAUUGCAUACAAGUGGAUUGAUACGUGAAUGAUAUGUCGACAUUUAAUUAAUUUUUUAAAAUUUUAAAAAAUAUUAAAUAUAUAUUUUAUAGUUUUGAAAUAUUUUUUAAAAAUACUUAAUAUAAUUAAUAUUCUUUUAGAAAUUUUAAAAAAAAUUAGAAAUUUUAAAAAAAAUAAUUAAAUGUUGAUUGAAGUAACAAUCCACGCAUUAAUAAAGUUAAAAAAAGUUCGGAUGAUAAUUUCUUAAAUUCCAGGUUAGGAAAUUCUAGUUCGUAUGUAUGGAAAAGUAUUUGGGCAGCAAAGGACUUAAUGAAAAAAGGGCAUUGUUGGAGGGUGGGGACGGGUACUAAUAUUUGCAUAAGCGAUGCUUGGAUUCCAGAUUCUGUUAAUUUUAGAUUAUCAUCAGAUAUUAAUUUUUUGCGUGAUGUUAAAGUUGGCGAGUUGAUUGAUAAUAAUACCAGAAGUUGGAAAAAAGAGUUGAUUACUAGUACCUUCCUGGAAGACGACGCAGCUAGAAUCCUCAGAAUCCCUCUGGCACAAACACCGCAUGAUGAUUUUCUUAUCUGGGGAGGCGAAAGGUCGGGUGAGUUUACGGUCAGAAGUGUCUAUCAAUUAUUACAAAAAUUGACUGACAAUCCUAGAGCUUAUGCUUUACAGACCAUCUAUGGGAAUUUUUAUAAAAAACUAUGGUGCCUGAAUCUACCAGCUAAAAUUAAGGUUACAAUAUGGAAGCUAUCUUGGAAUUAUCUGCCUACAAAGGUGAAUCUUCAACAUCGGAAGUUAGUAGUAAAUCCGAGCUGUCCCCGAUGUGGAGAAGAAGCUGAAACAAUGAACCACUUAUUUCGUUACUGUCAUGUUACAAGGGAGGUAUGGAGAUCAUUAUCGUUUCAGUGCAUUUUAAGGAAUCAUUGUGAAGAUUUUGUACAGUGGAUUACCUGGGCAAUAGAGCAGCUCAACCUUGAUCAAAGUCGCGUAUUUUGUUGUGCACUCUCGGCAAUAUGGGGCGACAGAAACAAAAGAAUACAUGAAGGUAAAAUUAGAAAGGGGACGGAAGUUGCAAAUCUUAUAAUCAGUUACAUCAAAGAAAUUGAUAGUCUUGAGAAGAGAGAUCUGAACCGUGCCUUAGAGAAAAAGAGAUGGUCGCCACCACAGGAAAGUUUCAUGAAGAUCAACUUUGAUGGCGCAUACGAUAAAGGAAAGAAUCAGUCGGGUGUGGGUAUUGUGGCCAGAGAUUCGAAUGGUACUAUUCUUUUUUCAUACUCAGAGAUUCAUUUUGGUAUUCCAUCAGCCUUUGCUGCUGAAGCAAUUGCCUGCCGGAAAGGCGUUCAAAUGGGAAUCAGGAGGGGAUGGCGACAUUUGAUCCUUGAAGGAGACUCCCUCACAAUAGUCAAAAAAUGUAAAUCGAAGAGUCAAGAUAGAUCUAUGGUGGGAGUAUACAUUUUUGACAUUCAACAGGAAAUCUAUGGACUUGAAAACAUCAGAUUUCAGUAUAUACCUAGAUCCGCAAAUGGUCUUGCUCAUAUCAUAGCAACAGAAUCAUUGAGAAGAGGAGAAGAGUUUUACCUGGAUAGGGGAGUUCCAGAUUAUGCCAUGGAUCAAGCUCGGCUGGAUGGGAGAAGUGAAGAAGAAGUCUCCAGAGAAGAAAAAUGACGAAUGAAAGGCUUUGAACAAGAAAAUGAAACGGACUGAUUUCUUUUGGCUUACCUUGGAAAUGAAAUCGUCAUUAUGAAAGGAGAUGACAGAAAAGACUGAAGACGGUUUCCCACGCUUCUUCUGAUUGGGCAAUGGGUCGGUGCUUUAAUGACCGAUUCUAGAACAUUCAUUAUAAAUAUCUAGAUUUUAUUUUGGUUAAGGCCAUCUGAUUUGGGCCGUGUUGGGUUUUAGG